rnacentral:rRNA from 1 species
CCUACGGGAGGCUGCAGUGGGGAAUAUUGGGCAAUGGGCGCAAGCCUGACCCAGCAACGCCGCGUGAAGGAAGAAGGCUUUCGGGUUGUAAACUUCUUUUCUCAGGGACGAAGCAAGUGACGGUACCUGAGGAAUAAGCCACGGCUAACUACGGGCCAGCAGCCGCGGUAAUACGUAGGUGGCAAGCGUUAUCCGGAUUUACUGGGUGGAAAGGGCGUGUAGGCGGGAACGCAAGUCAGAUGUGAAAACCAUGGGCUCAACCUGUGGACUGCAUUUGAAACUGUUUUUCUUGAGUACAGGAGAGGCAGGCGGAAUUCCUGGUGUAGCGGUGAAAUGCGUAGAUAUUAGGAGGAACACCAGUGGCGAAGGCGGUCUGCUGGACAGCAACUGACGCUGAGGCGCGAAAGCGUGGGGAGCAAACAGGAUUAGAUACCCGAGUAGUC